GCAAUUGUUGUUAAUACUCAGGAAAUUACUCAGGAAAUGAUGUUUGUCCAGGUGUCCUAUGGUCUCUGUUGUUUCACGCCUCCCCUCUCCUGUGUGAGUGUUUAAAGAAAUCAGAAGUUAGUAAAAAGAUAAGUUAGAAUUUUGUUUGUCAGAAUGUUUUGCUUUUAAGCAUAAUGUCUGUGAAUAAAUUAAUACAUAUGAUUAAAGAAAUAAGAAGACCUGAUGAAGAAACAAUGUUAAAUAAAAUAAUUGUAAUAGUAUUUAGGUAGGUUUUUUAAAAGAGGUACCUGUUAGGAGCUCAAUUGAAUAAGCUGUUGUCUUCCUGUCUUGAAAGUUUUAAUGUAAAUCUUUCCUUCAAAGCCAGUCAUCGUCGUCUAUCUGGGUCACUCCCCAAGACUUCUGAUACGUCGGUACAGUUUAAUAGAAUAAAAGUUUAGGAACUUGGCUAGGUGUUAAGACAUUUCCUUUCCCUGUAGACUAAGUGUCUGCUCACGCCAAAGGCCCUUCCUUGAUAUUUAAAUACAACCAAUACUGUCGUCUUCAUCCUGUAUCAAGGUAAGGUGCUAGGUGGUUAGAUCAAUGUUUCAGAACAGUGCUAGGGUGUGUAGACUUAGAGGAUACACAAACCAAACGGCCAUUGCUUGAUAUUUAAAUACAACCAAUACUGUCGUCUUCAUCCUGUAUCAAGGUAAGGUGCUAGGUCGUUAGAUCAAUGUUUCAGAACAAUGCUAGCGUGUGUAGACUUAGGGGAUACACAAAUCAAAUGGCCCUUGCUUAUAUUUUAAUUCACCCUUUCCUUAAACACACCUUUUUCAUGGGGACAAACAGAUCUUUUGAUUUGUAGUGUUUAAAUGUAAUUUAAUUAAAAAGUAGAUUUAAGUAUAGCAUUGCUUAUUCUUUUGCGCUUUAGAUGUCUACACAUAAAUAAAAUUGUAUACAUAUAGUUAUAAGUAUGCGUGGGUGAAAUGUUAUGUCAUUUGUCUUAUACUGUUUAAAAUGUUAAUAUAUUAAAUGUAUGAUUUAAAAUAAAAUUACUCUAUUAACAGUGAUGAGUAAUUAUA